rnacentral:ncRNA from 1 species
GGAAGUAGGCCUUCCGUAUUCGCUUUACAGGAGGAGAAUACAAACCACCUCAAGCUGCUAUGGUUAAAAGCCAUGGUAGUGAGCGUUGAGGAAAAGGCAACUUUAAGUUGUCAGGU